AGAAUGAACGUUGGCGGCGUGGAUUAGGCAUGCAAGUCGAACGGAUCUGGUAGCAAUAUCAGAUUAGUGGCGUAAGGGUGAGUAAGGCGACGGCAACCAACCCCAAGGUUGGGCAUAGCCGCGGGAAACUGCGGGUAAUUCCCAGCGAUGUUUAGACCGGGCAUCCGGUUUAAACCAAAGUUCUGGCGCCGUGGGACGGGCCGUCGUGGUAUUAGGUAGUUGGCGGGGUAAUGGCCCACCAAGACUAUGAUCGGUA
rnacentral:rRNA from 1 species